rnacentral:lncRNA from 1 species
UUAGAGUAAAAUCCUAGAUUUGUCCCUGAUUACAGGUACGUACCUAAAUCCACAUGUUUGACGUACUGUUUUCGAGUUUAUUUGUAUUUUAAAAACAUUUGUCAUAUUUAUUAAUAUUCAUACAAAUAUAUCUCAAUUAUAUAUAUAAAUAUAUUUAUAUAAAAAUAUAAAUGUUAAAAUUAUUAAUUAAGUUCAAUAACUUAAUUAAAGGAGUAUCUUUUUUAAAAAAUAAUAUUAUAAAAAUAAAUUGUAACGUCCCCUAACCUUAUACCGUCACCAGAACAGGGUUACGAGACAUUACCAGUCAGUACAGUCCAAUUCCGGUCAUUAAUUAAAAUAAAUAUUCACACACAUCCUAGUUUUAAGAUGUUGUCCCUUUAAUGGGCCCUCGCGGUCCAAUAUGAACAGUAAAUUCAAUUCGGGACUAAUUUAGAAUCACUACGAAUUCUUAGUAAAUUUCAAAAUUCAUACUACAUACCGUUGCCAACCAUAAUUUACUCAUUUCAUCAAUACUUCUAUAACCUAAAUGACUCUCAUAAAACGUCCUAGGUACAUGCCAUUAUCAAUACUCAACAUACUUUACCUUAAUGAAUUCGGGAUCGUCUUGGGAUGCUGAUUCAACGUACUAUCUUUACUUAACCUGCGCACGGAAACAAACCGUACGCUGAGUAUGGUAUACUCAGUGGUAUUUCUAUAAUCCGAACAAUUAAUAAUAUAACAAAUACUUAAGAUCAUAAUAACAAUUACAAUUAUUCAAUUAUUUAUUCAUAGAUAAAUUUCAACUACUUACCAUAUAAAUUUUAUACAAAUCAUAGAAUAAACACAAUAACAUAAUUGUUCAAUUCUUAACUAAAUCCAUUAUUAUUUACUCCAUUCUUUCACUUACUACUCGGUAUAGCUUCCCUUCAUUUACUCACAAUUCAAUAUCAUUAAACUAUAUUCAACUAUACACUUAUCAAUCAUAUUCCAUUUUAAUUCAUUUCAAUAACAGUCAAUUUCAUUUAUAUCAUAUCAACUUACUAUCCCUGAUAGCUUUCAGUAUAUACAUGCGAUUCAUAUAUCUCAAAUCACAUUUCAAUUCAUCAAGUGGCAUCAUAUAUCAUCAAUUCGAACUCCAAUCAUUUCAUGAACCUUUGGUUCAUAUUUUCAAUUUCAUAUCUAAAUUUUCAAUUCUCAAUUCAAUUUCUCUUUUCAUUUCAAUAGCUUGAUCAAUCAAAUUUAUUCGAUUUAUCUUUCACUUAUUUACCCCUAUUAACAAACUCGGACUUUGACGAAUACACGGAUUCCAACCCAAACACACCAGUACGACACAUUGUGCCUAAAACGGUACAUAGUACCUGAUCAGUAUACGACACAUAAAGUGCCUAAAACGACACACGAGGUGCCUGAUACGACACACGAGGUGCCUGAAAUAUGACACAUAAAGUGCCUGAUCGGUAAAGCCGGCAAUUCCCGUACACUUCCAGAUCCUAUGGCAUGCCAAUUAUAUCCGACUCACCCCGACUAGUUAAUAGGGUAUUUCAUUCACUUUCUCAAUUGAAUAAUUCUUUCAUCAAUAUCCCAUUCAGAUAAUUACAUAUAUUUACCCAUUUUCACAAUUCAUACAAUUUCAUCCAAUUCCACAAUAUAUUUCAAUUAUUCAUAUUAAUUCAUAAUUCAAUACAAUUCAAUUCACUUUUCAAUAUCAAAUAUUCAAAUAUCACAAUCUCAUAUAUUCAUAUCAAUUUCCUCAUAUUUCCAAUCAAUAUAUUUUUCAAUAUAAUAUUCAUUCAAUAUUCAAAUUUCUACAUAAAUCAUAUAUAUUAUAUAAUUCAAUCAAUAUAAAUUCAAUCAAAAUAAUUUCAAUCAAUAUAAAUUCAAUAAAUUCAUCGCAUACCAAAAUCAAUCCAUUCCAAUUGUAAAACAUCAUAAUUCUAACACUAACAAUUGCCAUAUGUAUAUAAAUAUAACAAAUAAUAACUAAGUUCGGAUUAUAGAAAUACAAACCGUAAUUUUCGAGCUAACUCCCGUUGACUUUGUCUUGUCCUUUUUUAGCCGAGAUUUUCGGUACCACAUUGACUACGAAAUUAAUACAAUUCAUAAUCAUUAAUACAUUACUAAUUCAUAUCUUGAGUUACAGAAUUCUAAGUUAAGAUCCGCUAAUUUUUCCUGAAACUAGACUCACAAAUCUUCUUACAAUAAAAUUUUCAGAAUUUUUGGUUUAGCCAUUAAGUACAGUUUAUUCUUUAAAUUCACCCCUAUUCUGCUGUCUAAUAGUUUCGUCCCUUCUUCACUAAAAAUUAAUUAUCUCACAGUACAGAACUCGGAUAAUAUUCCCAUUGAUUUCUCUUGAAAAUAGACUCAUUAGGGAUUCUAAAAAUAUAACUUUAAGCCUCUAAUUAUUUUUCUUCAAUUUUUAGUGAUUUUCCAAAGUCAGAACAGGGGAACCCGAAUUCAUUCUGACAUUGUCUCACAAAAUACAUUAUAUCUCAUAAUUUACAAUUCAAUUGCUUAUAUCGUUUCUUCUAUAAGAAACUAGACUCAAUAAUAUUUAAUUUCAUAUUUUAUUCAUCUUCUAAUUCGAUUUCUAUAAUUUUUUAUGAUUUUUCAAAGUUAGACUACUGCUGCUGUCUAAAACAGUUUUAGUGCAAAAUGUUGAUUUACUUUAAUUUCAAUUUAAUCCUAACUAAAUUCUCUUACUUUUCUAUCUUAAUUCAUACUUUAUUUCUAUUCAAAUUUUGUCCAAACUCAUACUUAACUAUUAAAUUUCAAGCAUAUUUUCAUAAUUUCGAAUUUAUUUCCAUUUAAUCCCUAAAACUCAAAACUUAUAGCUUAGUUUACGAUUCAAUCCUUUAUUCAAUUCCAAUCAAAAUUUCAAUCAAAUAAACCCCCAAUUCCAUCAUUUUAUUCAACAUGAACCAAACUUAGAAAUCUAAUGACUUUCAAAAUUUCUACUUAAAACAAGCACUAUUUAUCUCUAGGAUUCCAAAAAACUCAAAAAUCAUAAGAAAAGGGGCUAAAUUGACUUACCAAAUUAACUUGGAACCUUUAAAACCUUAUUUUCCCUUUUUCUUUUCUUUCUUUCUUUCUCCCCUGUUUCUUCUCUGUUUCGUUUCCUGCUAUUCUGUUUCCUUCCUUCUUUUUAUUCUUUUGUUUCUUUCCUUU